rnacentral:rRNA from 1 species
UCACCCCCCCUUGUUACUAUCCCGCCUGUAUACCUCCGUCGCAAGCUUACCCUGUGAGGGCUUAUUAGUGAGCAAAACUGGUUUUUCCCCAAGACGUCAGGUCGAGGUGCAGCGAAUGGGAGGGAAAGAAAUGGGCUACAUUCCCUAUCUCAGGGCACUACGGAUGAUGCGCUGAAACAUACAUCUGAAGGAGGAUUUAGCAGUAAGCAGAAAAUAGAGCGUUCUGCUGAAGCCGGCCCUGAAGCGUGCACACACCGCCCGUCACUCUCUCCAAACUUCUUUAACCUAGUAACUAAAACAAGGCCAUUUGUGAAGGGGAGGCAAGUCGAAACAUGGUAAGUGUACCGGAAGGUGUACUUGGAAAA